rnacentral:rRNA from 1 species
UACGAGGGGGGCGAGCGUUGUUCGGAAUUAUUGGGCGUAAAGGGUGCGUAGGCGGUUUGGUAAGUCUUGUGUGAAAUCUCCAGGCUCAACUUGGAGUCUGCACGAGAAACUGCCGGGCUUGAGUGUGGGAGAGGUGAGUGGAAUUCCUGGUGUAGCGGUGAAAUGCGUAGAUAUCAGGAGGAACACCUGUGGCGAAAGCGGCUCACUGGACCACAACUGACGCUGAUGAGCGAAAGCGUGGGGAGCGAACAGG